rnacentral:tRNA from 1 species
GCUCCUGUAGUCUAGACCGGUCAAGGACAACGGACUCUCACUCCGUAAACUCGGGUUCAAAUGCUUGGCCUGGCAGCCAAACUCGCCAGCAAGCUGUCAAUCCCGGCAGGAGCA